rnacentral:rRNA from 1 species
GCUCAACCGAGGAAGUGCUUCGAAAACUGGUAAACUUGAGUGCAGAAGAGGAAAGUGGAACUCCAUGUGUAGCGGUGGAAUGCGUAGAUAUAUGGAAGAACACCAGUGGCGAAGGCGGCUUUCUGGUCUGUAACUGACGCUGAGAUUCGAAAGCAUGGGUAGCAAACAGGAUUAGAUACCCUGGUAGUCCAUGCCGUAAACGAUGAGUGCUAAGUGUUGGAGGGUUUCCGCCCUUCAGUGCUGCAGCUAACGCAUUAAGCACUCCGCCUGGGGAGUACGAUCGCAAGAUUGAAACUCAAAGGAAUUGACGGGGGCCCGCACAAGCGGUGGAGCAUGUGGUUUAAUUCGAAGCAACGCGAAGAACCUUACCAGGUCUUGACAUACCAUGAAAAGCUUAGAGAUAAGUCUUUCCCUUCGGGGACAUGGAUACAGGUGGUGCAUGGUUGUCGUCAGCUCGUGUCGUGAGAUGUUGGGUUAAGUCCCGCAACGAGCGCAACCCUUAUUAUCAGUUGCCAGCAUUCAGUUGGGCACCCUGGUGAGACUGCCGGUGAUAAACCGGAGGAAGGUGGGGACGACGUCAAAUCAUCAUGCCCCUUAUGACCUGGGCUACACACGUGCUACAAUGGUCGGUACAACG